CAGUCGCCGCGGGAAUACGGAGGGUGCAAGCGUUAAUCGGAAUUAUUGGGCGUAAAGCGCACGCAGGCGGUUUGUUAAGUCAGAUGUGAAAUCCCCGAGCUUAACUUGGGAACUGCAUUUGAAACUGGCAAGCUAGAGUCUUGUAGAGGGGGGUAGAAUUCCAGGUGUAGCGGUGAAAUGCGUAGAGAUCUGGAGGAAUACCGGUGGCGAAGGCGGCCCCCUGGACAAAGACUGACGCUCAGGUGCGAAAGCGUGGGGAGCAAACAGGAUUAGAUACCCCUGUAGUCCCUGUCUCUUAUAC
rnacentral:rRNA from 1 species